GAUGAAGGCUGGCGGCGUGCUUAACACAUGCGAGUCGAACGGAAAGGCCCAAGCUUGCUUGGGUACUCGAGUGGCGAACGGGUGAGUAACACGUGGGUGAUCUGCCCUGCACUUCGGGAUAAGCCUGGGAAACUGGGUCUAAUACCGGAUAGGACGAUGGUUUGGAUGCCAUUGUGGAAAGUUUUUUCGGUGUGGGAUGAGCUCGCGGCCUAUCAGCUUGUUGGUGGGGUAAUGGCCUACCAAGGCGUCGACGGGUAGCCGGCCUGAGAGGGUGUACGGCCACAUUGGGACUGAGAUACGGCCCAGACUCCUACGGGAGGCAGCAGUGGGGAAUAUUGCACAAUGGGCGCAAGCCUGAUGCAGCGACGCCGCGUGGGGGAUGACGGCCUUCGGGUUGUAAACUCCUUUCGCUAGGGACGAAGCGUUUUUGUGACGGUACCUGGAGAAGAAGCACCGGCUAACUACGUG
rnacentral:rRNA from 1 species